GCCCCCUGCCCCGUGCCAUCAUGGUGGCGGCUCGCCUCCGCCGAGCGGCCCGGCCCGGCCCGGCCCCACAACAUCCACGCAGCGGUGUGCGAUUCGCCCUGCCCGGGCUGACACUGGUUCACGGGGAGAGCGCAGGGCAGUGCUAACUGAAGUGAUAGCAAAUAAUUGUGUUGCAGUUUGAUACAUUGGCUAAACACGCUCCUGUGAACGGCGAAAAAUAUGCAGCCUUCUUCCUCUUCACUCAGUGCGGCACUGAGAAGACAAAAGUUCAUAUGCACAUGAUGUCACUGUCCUGUUGAUGCAGAGGGAAGCCUGCUCAUUAGAGAGAGGAUAGAAUGUGAAGACUCCACGGCUGACCAAAGUUUCCCCUGCUGCAGAAGAGGAAACAGAGGUCGUCCUUCAUUCACCAGCAGUCUCAUCAAGAAGUGAGCUGCACUGAGCACAUAUUCCAGAAGAAGAAAUUGAAACGGUUGCAGAAGCCCCAUUGCUUUUCAUCACACUUUACAUCCAGAAAAGUUCCAUAAUUUGGUGACAUGAGCAGUUGAAAAUGUUCUGUUUGGAUCAUGUUAUAUUUAACACAACUGCAGUUAGCAUCAUCAGAAAAUUGGCAGGCCAUUUUGCCCCACAUUAGCAUCCCUGAGGAUGCUAACUGAAUUAUACUGGCUGGAUUCCUAUCUGAAAUAGUUUUUCCCUUUUUUUUUCCUCAUCUAUACUCUAUUGUAAAUUGAAUAACAGCCUAAUGAUUUGUCAGGUCACACUGUCCUGCCACAAGAGACAUUGAAUGUUGAUUUACAUUCCACAUUGACAGCAUCAUGACAGAAAGCUUGCCAUCUUGUCUUUCUAAAAAUGUCUGCAAAAUUCAUGGCUCAGUUUGUUUGUUUUUUAUGUGAUUUUAUCCAAUUACUCUGAGCUUUUCCUCCUGCUCCAGAAAAGACAACAUUUUGAUAAUGCCUCUUUGUUCUUGGGUUUUGUUGAAUUCAGCAUCUUUCUACAAGGCCCAGUUUAGUUCAUUGGAAAAGUGAUGGACGUGCUCUCAUUUCUAUUGAUUGUUAUAGAGGAUGGGCUAGAGCCAUAUACAAAUAAAUAAAUAAAUAAAUAAAUUCCUGUCAGCCUUAAUGGAACAGGCUGUUAAGAGGUCAGCUCCAUUUUGUCGCCCCAGAAUCCCAGAAAUGGUAACAUGAACUGUGCAUUUAACAGUUGUGAAUGUGUUCUUCUACCCCUUCCUCAUCAUGAAAAACUUGCUUAAGACUAUCAUACUUAUUUGAACCAUGCUUUCAACGUGCAUUUAACUAAGUUGUUAUCAGAGUUACUAACUCAAACUUCACUAAAAAGCCAUUGUGCUACUCUUCACUCUCCUGACAUGAUGCAUGGAUUAGGAUUUCACAGUCCUUGCUGAAGGCAGGUGUUAGGUUCUCAUUUCCAAAACCUUUCCUAAUGAUCCCAGUAACUUUAACACAACUAUCUUGUUGUAAUGGAUACGGGUAUGAAAACUGUACUGGAGAAAUACAGAAAUAAGUAGGAUGCAUUGAACACUACAAGUAGUUGUUCCUAUAAAAUCUAUUCAACAUUUUUAAAGCUUUUAAAGUAUUAUCUUUUAUUUAUCUUAUUGCUUCCCUGUAAUUUACUAUAAACUCCUUCUUCUGAUUUGUUAACUUUGAGUCUACUUGCGCUCAGAACACCCAGAGCUUGCAAUCCUUCAAAAUAAUCUAAUUUUAGAAUUCUUUCUCAUUGACCAAGCUGUAAAACAUCUAUGGAUAUUAGAUACUACAAAGCAAGCAGAACAAGGUAUUAUCUGUGGUAGGUUCUCAUUUUACAAGCUGAAGAGCUGCUUUAAAGAAAAAGGAAAAAAUGACAGGUUCUUUUCACUCCUUCUUUAUAACAUUUUCCUGCUGGGAUUUUUUUUAACUUGCUAUAAGUGAUAUCUCAUGACAUUUCACUUAGGAAAGUUUUUCAACUCUAACUUUUAGUUCCAAACCAAAUGCAGUUUCUUUGUUUUGUAGCAGUUCUGUAUCAGCAGCAGGAAAACACUACUGUAUUUUUCCCUUCUCUCUUCCUGUUAUAGUCCAAGUGGCCUACAGCUGAAUUACCAUGCUCUAAUGAACAUCAGGGCAAGAAAUGAGUCACUGUUUUUAAUUGCCUCUUGUUACUGAAAAAAAAAUCUUAUUCAGAAAGAAAUUUAACUCAGGCAGGAUAAACCCAUCUGAAAGUUGUUUUUUUAAGUUUUCUUGUCGCUUUCCUCUACUGCUUUACCCCUUGUUGACCCUCUUAGGGAUAAGGUAGUCCCUGUGGUUCUGGAGCAUAAUCUUGUGCUGCUAGUGAAGUGAUUAUUCACUUGCAAUAUUAAAAGGGCCAGUUGGAUCAUUAGUUACCAAAAGUGUAACUGUUCAGUUUACUGGGUCUUAAGCUCAGUGGGUCAUAAAACUAAACAAAUUAUUCAUGUUAACAAAACCAGAGGCAACUAUGUAGAGAAGCAAAUGAUUUUCCUAAAUGACUGAGCCUAACAUUACAGAAGCCAAGCUGUUUCAUUCCCAUUCAAAGACUACAUGACUCUAACACAAAUAACAACAAUCAGAGCCACACUAAAAAGAAGCAGAUAAAUAAACAAGCAAGUGACUUUAAGCAGAAAAGAACUCAAGCCACUAUUAUUCCUGGGGACAAUGCUAUGAUCUCACAGGAAAGCUGAUAUCCUGAUCAGAGAAAAAGCAGCAAGGGAGGCCAUGAAGGAAAUUCAUCACAUGGUUGUGAUACCAUCUGCUAAAGGGCUCCUCUAAAUCGAAGUGUAAUGGAGUAUUACACAUUUAAGGCAUCCUCCCAGCCUCAGAUGUCUUUAUAUUUCAGUCUGCCAUUCUUAAUACCAAACUAGCUCUUAAAAAACAAUAAAAAUAACAGUUAUGCAUCUGUUAAAAAGCAUGUGUGCUCACCGCUGCCAUUACAGGACUUGUCUCCAUCCAGAUCAAACAAAAGAACGUAUUUAAUGACUCAGCACGGUGAUUAUAUCAAUCAGGAAAAAAAUUGGAAGAGUGAAAAGAAAAUGUUUGACCCUCCCACACUGCAGGUGAUUUCCAAACCAACAGACAAAGGGACUAGGAAAUUAAGCACAACGAGGAGCUUGCCUGAAACUCAGGAUUGCAGUAGAUGUAUGAGGUACCUUCAUGCUGCCGUUAAUAAUACUACUGCAGAGGCUGAUUCACAGAACAAGCACAAAGUUUCACAUUGCUCUGAUGGAUGAUAAGAGGAAGGACAGGAGGUUGGACUUUUCUACUGGUUUGAUGGGGUAGAAUGAAACCUGUAAAUUGUAAGACAUUAAUAUCUGAGCUAGGACAUUUCAGUUAAUCACUGCCUUCUUUAUCUUUGGAUUCUGUGCCUGAUUUCAGUCAUUAAUAUCUUUCCAACCAUAAAGGUAACUUUAUCACUGUA
rnacentral:lncRNA from 1 species